rnacentral:rRNA from 1 species
CGCUAGUAAUCGUGGAUCAGAAUGCCACGGUGAAUACGUUCCCGGGCCUUGUACACACCGCCCGUCACACCAUGGGAGUGGGUUGCAAAAGAAGUAGGUAGCUUAACCUUCAGGAGGGCGCUUACCACUUUGUGAUUCAUGACUGGGGUGAAGUCGUAACAAGGUAACCGUAGGGGAACCUGCGGUUGGAUCACCUCCUUACCUUAAAGAAGC